UUGGGGUCGAUUAGCCAUGCGAGUCGAGAGGGUUCGGCCCUCGGCGGACUGCUCAGUAACACGUGGAUAACCUGCCCUUAGGUCUGGCAUAACCCCGGGAAACUGGGGAUAAUACCGGAUAGAUCAGGGGUCGCUGGAAUGCGCCCUGAUCCAAAGCUCCGGCGCCUAAGGAUGGGUCUGCGACCUAUCAGGUUGUAGUGGGUGUAAUGUACCUACUAGCCGACGACGGGUACGGGUUGUGAGAGCAAGAGCCCGGAGAUGGAUUCUGAGACACGAAUCCAGGCCCUACGGGGUGCAGCAGGCGCGAAACCUUUACAAUGUGCGAAAGCAUGAUAAGGGAACUCCGAGUGCCAGCAUUAAAUGUUGGCUGUCCUUGUGCCUAAAACGCACAAGAUAGCAAGGGCCGGGUAAGACCGGUGCCAGCCGCCGCGGUAACACCGGCGGCCCGAGUGGUAGUCGCUAUUAUUGGGUCUAAAGGGUCCGUAGCCGGUUUGAUAAGUCCUCUGGGAAAUCUGAUUGCUCAACAAUCAGGCUGCCAAGGGAUACUGUCAAACUUGAGACCGGGAGAGGUAAGAGGUACUUCAAGGGUAGGAGUGAAAUCUUAUAAUCCUUGGGGGACCGUCUGUGGCGAAGGCGUCUUACCAGAACGGGUCUGACGGUGAGGGACGAAAGCUGGGGGCGCGAACCGGAUUAGAUACCCGGGUAGUCCCAGCCGUAAACGAUGCUCGCUAUGUGUCAGAUACGGUGCGACCGUAUCUGGUGCCGUAGGGAAGCCGUGAAGCGAGCCACCUGGGAAGUACGGCCGCAAGGCUGAAACUUAAAGGAAUGGGCGGGGAGCACUCAACGGUGA
rnacentral:rRNA from 1 species